UUGUGAGCCAAUCACUUCCCCGUACUUUUCCGCUGACAGUUUUGAAGAGUCCGACGGAUUUCUGGUUCCUACCUUUGCCUACCUGGGGAGUUGCUAAUAAAGUUGUCACUGUGAUCAGCAAUGGGCGAUAUGGGGAAAUAAGGAAAUGAUCCUCCUGGAAAUGAUUCCCUGGAUAAUGAUGGGACAUACACACUGACUGAGAAAGAAAUGGAAACUGGCUGGUGAGCCAACAAAGCCUUUUGGGGAUUCUGUUUUGAUGGAGAGAACUCACUUCCUUACCUACUAACCAUACGCUGGUGACAUCUCAAACCAUGGCCCGUCUCCAGCCUUGUUUCAGUCAAGGUUCUCUUCUUCCCAGGAAUACAAAUGAGCUGAAGCUACCUCAGAAAACACAGAGAAGAAGAGAAGAGGAGAAGUUGAAGAAGGAUGGCCGAUCUUGGGAAGAGGCUGAAGAAGAAGAUAGGAUCCAAGAUGGCCUCUCCCUCAGCGUCUCUCUCUCUGUGGCUCAUGUAAUUGCGCACCCUGAGGACGGCCUCAUUUUCACCUCUCUGGGUACCCUUCUCCCUCGGGACCAGCUUUCUUUGUUUCUCUGUGUCUUUUAAGACCUCAGGGUUUAUCCCACUCUCAGUUCAAGGUACCCACAGAGAUUAAAUUACAUUGCUGGAUCUCAAAUGUGAGCCCUCAGGCGACUCAAUUAACUGUGGCCGGUGGCACGUAUAUCCCAAACGUAUCUGCAGGGGAGAACUUCCUUGCAGUGGGAAAGAUCCCAGAAUGAAUGCUCAUCCUCACGUGGACGUUACGGAGUUGGCCCUCUCACCUAUGUCCUUGGCUUAAAGUAUUCCAUCCGGGUACCUUCAACCAGCCAAAACUCUCUACCUUUUUCCAUUCCUCUGGAAAGAAAAACAAAACCAGCAAGAAAA